rnacentral:rRNA from 1 species
UGGGGAAUAUUGCACAAUGGGGGGAACCCUGAUGCAGCCAUGCCGCGUGAAUGAAGAAGGCCUUCGGGUUGUAAAGUUCUUUCGGUGAUGAGGAAGGCAGGUAAGUUAAUAGCUUACUUGAUUGACGUUAGUCACAGAAGAAGCACCGGCUAACUCCGUGCCAGCAGCCGCGGUAAUACGGAGGGUGCGAGCGUUAAUCGGAAUGACUGGGCGUAAAGGGCACGCAGGCGGUGACUUAAGUGAGAUGUGAAAGCCCCGGGCUUAACCUGGGAAUUGCAUUUCAUACUGGGUCGCUAGAGUAUUUUAGGGAGGGGUAGAAUUCCACGUGUAGCGGUGAAAUGCGUAGAGAUGUGGAGGAAUACCGAAGGCGAAGGCAGCCCCUUGGGAAUAUACUGACGCUCAUGUGCGAAAGCGUGGGGAGCAAACAGGA